AUUAGGGCCGUUUUUUUUACCCUGGAUUCUAGAGAAUCAGGAUUAUGGGAAAUUCUCCCAGAAUCUACUUCUUCCUGUAGUUGAGUUCUUUUCAGAGAUUGUAGUUUGAGAUUCUGAAAAGUGUUGUGUGUUGAAAUGUCUGUACUGCCCUUAGACAGAAGUUGUUUGAUGUUAACAGUUUGUUGUUUCCAUCAGUAACGAAAGUGUAAUUUACGACAGUCCAUAAAAAGUGCUAAAUAUUACAAUGGGUUUAAAGUUUUGUUCAUGACAAAAAGUGCAUAAACUAAAAAAAAGAAUACUCUCAAGGUACGAGACUAGCAGCAAUCGCCUCACGUGUUGCGUUCAUGGUACCAUCAUCUAACAAAUUCAAACACCAACCCAUCCAUCCAUC
rnacentral:lncRNA from 1 species